rnacentral:lncRNA from 1 species
UUUGUUACAACCAAAUGGUUAUUAUAGUAAUAAGUAUAAUUAGCAUUAGACAAUUACAAUAAUAACACAUUUCCUUGUUUCAGAGGUACUUUUUUAAAAAACAGGUUUAUUUAAUGACCCCCCCACACCCCCAAGAGAAAACAGCUCUUUUCACGAAGAGCAGAGGGCUCUUUCAUUCUGCUGAGAUGCUAUCUUAGUGAAGGAACGUUAUUGACAAACCCCAUAAAACAGGAGCAGAGUUCCUUGGAGCGAAAGCUUUUUUGCUUUCUCUCUCUGGUUGCUCUGGGGAGAAGAAAACCUUGUGCCUCUCUUUCGAAGGAUUAGGAGAACCGGGUGAAGGAUAGAAAAGAUGAGACGAGGGAGAGGGCAAGAGAAAAGAAACAUAUUCUCAAACAGCUGGAGCUUAAGAUCCAUGGCUGACUAGCUCCCACCCUUUCUUCCUGGUCCAGCCGACCAGCAGGGAAUCCAGGCUGUUUGUUCGUGGAGGCGAAUGAGCGUCUGAGGGAGUUUUCCAAGCUCUGCAGGAGUAAGAAGUACACAGAGUGAGACGGCUGAGGAGGAGAUCACAAGCGGGUCCUUUAUGGGUAUGUCAAGACAUCUAUCUUAGAUUUAAGUUUCUGCUACUGAGGAGAUUGGGCCUACCUGUGGAUGCCUUUGUACAGUGGCCAACACUUGCCAGACUAAUUGCUUCCUGAGCUAGGAAGAGCGUCCAGACAGAGACCUAGGAAGUUUGAUAUAUUGGGAUCCUUCAACUGCCGGGAUUCCAGAUGAUAAAUAAACUGCACGGUGGAAUUUGAAUCAACCUAUUCAGAGACUUGAGAGGAGUAAGAGGGGGAGCCCCCAAGGACCAGGCAGACUCCGGCGUGGGAGCGGCAGACAUUUACCUGAGGUGGGCAGAGUGCCAAGCCCUGGCAUAGCGACUGGUGUUGGAGGCCUGGAGACAAGGAGGGUUCUGGGAGAGAAGGCGAGCUCACUUCUACAGACAACUCUCCUCGCUGGCCACACCAUGCUCUAUAAACACCCUGCACCAUCUGUGAUGUCAACCACCGGCCGCCUGGAGAACAUGCCCUGCUCUGUCAUGUACUCCUUUCCAACUGAGGACCACCUUAUUCAUCCUCCAGUCUCAACAGUGUAUGAUCGGCACCACCCCAUCCAAGCUGAAGCCUGAGGUACAAAAACUUAACUGACCGCCACCAAGGAAGUACCCCAGGAUCUACA